GAACAUUGUUUCUAAGCGCACACGUUUUUCUUUCAGGAUUGAAGAGUUCAAGUGCCCAGAGUUUCUCGUGAACCAUUAUACACCACUUUCCUGUCGUCUUCUAGAGUGGAUUAUCAAGAAUGUUUUCAUUUUGGUGCCAGCUUGUGCAUUGCUUUUGGGAUGCAUAUCAGUUGUGUUAAAGGUCCGUAAAAAGCAUCGGUUAUCUGUUAGAGCUGAACAGCUUUAUCUUGAGGUUUGCAAUAUUCUUGAAGAGAAGUCAUUACUUGCAAGGAGUAUAAGUGGUGGGGAUGAACCGUGGGUGGUUGCCUCGUGGUUGCGAGAUCAUCUGCUCUCGCCUAAGGAAAGAAAAGACACACUGCUCUGGAA